ensembl:misc_RNA Metazoa_SRP Metazoan signal recognition particle RNA
GCUGGGUGUGGUGGCUCACGCCUGUAAUCCCAGCACUUCGGGAGGCCGAGGUGGGUGGAUCACCUGAGGUCAGGAGUUCAAGACCAGCCUGGCCAACAUGGUGAAACCCCAUCUCCC